rnacentral:rRNA from 1 species
UACGUAGGGUGCAAGCGUUGUCCGGAAUUAUUGGGCGUAAAGAGCUCGUAGGCGGUUUGUCGCGUCUGCUGUGAAAUCCCGAGGCUCAACCUCGGGCCUGCAGUCGAUACGGGCAGGCUAGAGUUCGGUAGGGGAGACUGGAAUUCCUGGUGUAGCGGUGAAAUGCGCAGAUAUCAGGAGGAACACCGGUGGCGAAGGCGGGUCUCUGGGCCGAAACUGACGCUGAGGAGCGAAAGCGUGGGGAGCAAACAGG